rnacentral:rRNA from 1 species
CAGUAGCCACGGGAAUACAGAGGGUGCGAGCGUUAAUCGGAUUUACUGGGCGUAAAGCGUGCGUAGGCGGCUAAUUGAGUCGGAUGUGAAAUCCACGAGCUUAACUUGGGAAUUGCAUUCGAUACUGGUUAGCUAGAGUGUGGGAGAGGAUGGUAGAAUUCCAGGUGUAGCGGUGAAAUGCGUAGAGAUCUGGAGGAAUACCGAUGGCGAAGGCAGCCAUCUGGCCUAACACUGACGCUGAGGUACGAAAGCAUGGGGAGCAAACAGGAUUAGAUACCCCGGUAGUCCCUGUCUCUUAUAC